ACAUGACUACAACAUAUCUUUAAUGCACUAGAUCCCAUUAGAACUCCAUAUUUAAGCACGCUCAGGAUAGAGUAGUACUGGGAUGUGUGACUUCCUGGGAAUUCCCAGUGUUUUACAUGCC
rnacentral:rRNA from 1 species